rnacentral:rRNA from 1 species
UGCCCGUUCUGAACAGCCAGCCGGUUUCUCUUGAUGAUCUUCACCGGUUGUCUCGGGUGACCGGCAAGUUUACUUUGAAAAAAUUAGAGUGCUCAAAGCAGGCGCGACGCCUGAAUAAUGGUGCAUGGAAUAAUGGAAUAGGACCUCGGUUCUAUUUUGUUGGUUUUCGGAACACGAGGUAAUGAUUAAGAGGGACAGACGGGGGCAUUCGUAUUGCGACGCUAGAGGUGAAAUUCUUGGACCGUCGCAAGACGAACUACUGCGAAAGCAUUUGCCAAGAAUGUUUCCAUUAAUCAAGAACGAAAGUUAGAGGUGCGAAGGCGAUCAGAUACCGCCCUAGUUCUAACCAUAAACGAUGCCAGCCAGCGAUCCGUCUGUGUUCUUCCAAUGAUACGACGGGCAGCUUCCGGGAAACCAAAGCUUUUGGGUUCCGGGGGAAGUAUGGUUGCAAAGCUGAAACUUAAAGGAAUUGACGGAAGGGCACCACCAGGAAUGGAGCCUGCGGCUUAAUUUGACUCAACACGCGAAAACUUACCCGGCCCGGACACAGGAAGGAUUGACAGAUUAAGAGCUCUUUCUUGAUUCUGUGGGUGGUGGUGCAUGGCCGUUCUUAGUUGGUGGAUUGAUUUGUCUGGUUAAUUCCGAUAACGAACGAGACUCUAGCCUACUAAAUAGACGUUCCGAUCAUCUGCGUCGGACGUUCUUCUUAGAGGGACAAGCGGCGUUUAGCCGCACGAGACAGAGCAAUAACAGGUCUGUGAUGCCCUUAGAUGUCCGGGGCCGCACGCGCGCUACAUUGAAGGAAUCAGCGUGUGCUUUCCCGGUCCGACAGGACUGGGUAACCCGUUGAAUCUCCUUCGUGCUGGGGAUAGGAGCUUGUAAUUAUUUUCCUUGAACGAGGAAUUCCCAGUAAGCGCGAGUCAUCAGCUCGCGUUGAUUACGUCCCUGCCCUUUGUCCGCCCGUCGCUACUACCGAUUGAAUGAUUUAAUGAGGGCUUCGGACUGGAAAGUUUUCGGAUCUUCCCGAAAAAUGACCAACUUGUUCUUUUAAGGAAGAAAA